AACAACGCUGGCGGCGUGCCUAACACAUGCAAGUCGUACGAGAAAGUCGGCUUCGGCCGAUGAGUACAGUGGCGCACGGGUGAGUAGCGCGUGGGUAAUCUGCCCCCCGGUCAGGAAUAACCCGCCGAAAGGCGGGCUAAUACCCGAUAACACUGACGCUCCGCGGAGCGUCUUUCAAAGGAGGCCUCUGUUUACAAGCUUUCGCCGGAGGAUGAGCCCGCGUACCAUUAGCUAGUUGGCAGGGGUAAUGGCCUACCAAGGCUGCGAUGGUUAGCUGGUCUGAGAGGAUGGCCAGCCACACUGGAACUGAGACACGGUCCAGACUCCUACGGGAGGCAGCAGUGAGGAAUCUUGCGCAAUGGGGGAAACCCUGACGCAGCAACGCCGCGUGAGUGAGGAAGGCCUUCGGGUCGUAAAGCUCUGUCAGAUGGGAAGAAAUGGGUGGGGGCUAAUAUCGCCCAUCCUUGACGGUACCAUCAGAGGAAGCACCGGCUAACUCCGUG
rnacentral:rRNA from 1 species